rnacentral:rRNA from 1 species
UACGUAGGGUGCAAGCGUUAAUCGGAAUUACUGGGCGUAAAGCGUGCGCAGGCGGUUUGUUAAGACAGAUGUGAAAUCCCCGGGCUUAACCUGGGAACUGCAUUUGUGACUGGCAAGCUAGAGUAUGGCAGAGGGGGGUAGAAUUCCACGUGUAGCAGUGAAAUGCGUAGAGAUGUGGAGGAAUACCGAUGGCGAAGGCAGCCCCCUGGGCCCAAUACUGACGCUCAUGCACGAAAGCGUGGGGAGCAAACAGG